GACGAACGCUGGCGGCGUGCCUAAUACAUGCAAGUAGAACGCUGAAGGAGGAGCUUGCUUCUCUGGAUGAGUUGCGAACGGGUGAGUAACGCGUAGGUAACCUGCCUGGUAGCGGGGGAUAACUAUUGGAAACGAUAGCUAAUACCGCAUAACAGUAGACGUUGCAUGACAUUUGCUUAAAAGGUGCAAUUGCAUCACUACCAGAUGGACCUGCGUUGUAUUAGCUAGUUGGUGGGGUAACGGCUCACCAAGGCGACGAUACAUAGCCGACCUGAGAGGGUGAUCGGCCACACUGGGACUGAGACACGGCCCAGACUCCUACGGGAGGCAGCAGUAGGGAAUCUUCGGCAAUGGACGGAAGUCUGACCGAGCAACGCCGCGUGAGUGAAGAAGGUUUUCGGAUCGUAAAGCUCUGUUGUAAGAGAAGAACGAGUGUGAGAGUGGAAAGUUCACACUGUGACG
rnacentral:rRNA from 1 species